CCCUGACAGCGUGCAUUGUGCCGCUGACCUAACCCAGACAGGAGAUCAUCAUG
rnacentral:ncRNA from 1 species